rnacentral:rRNA from 1 species
GACGAACGCUGGCGGCGUGCUUAACACAUGCAAGUCGAACGGGGAAUCGAGCCCUGACGUUUUCGGAUGGAAGGGAAAGAUUUCUAGUGGCGGACGGGUGAGUAACGCGUGAGCGACCUGUCCUGCAGAGGGGGACAGCAACGGGAAACCGUUGCUAAUACCGCAUGAGACCACGGUCCUGCAUGGGAUUGUGGUAAAAGGAGAAAUCCGCUGCAGGAGGGGCUCGCGUCCCAUUAGAUAGUUGGUAGGGUAACGGCCUACCAAGUCGACGAUGGGUGGCCUGACUGAGCGGUUGAACGGCCGCACUGGGACUGAGACACGGCCCAGACUCCUACGGGAGGCAGCAGUGGAGAAUAUUGGGGAAUGGGCGAAAGCCUGACCCAGCAACGCCGCGUGAAGAAAGAAGGUUUUCGGAUUGUAAACUUCUGUCAUUGGGGACGAAGGAAGUGACGGUACCCGAUGAGGAAGCCCCGGCUAACUACGUGCCAGCCGCCGCAGUAACAC